GUAAUUCUUUUUCAAUUACAAUAAUUAUAGGACGUUCAUACAAAUAAAUCCCCUAAAUCAUGUAAUCACUGUUUCCUGCAAGUACCAACCCGCUUGAUUUUUUUUGUGAAAAAAUCAGUAUUAUCCAUACAAACAAAUCAAAUUGGUAAUGGCAAAGAUUAAAAGUAAACCCAGUAAACCCAUACCCAACCCAAGACAAACAAAUUGAGGGGAAAAAAAGAGAGAAAACCCAAGCAUCUGACUGAGCCGUUGAUGGUCAAGUACAAAAGAGAGAAAACACAAAUCGACGGGAAACUCACCAAAUCAGUCCACGGUCGGCGGCGAAACUCACCAAAUCGACGGGAAAGAGGUUGAUGGUCGACGGUCGGCGGUCGGAGGUCGACGAGAAAAAGAUUGACGAUCGACGUGAAAGAGAAAGAGAGGCCAGGGGGAGGAAUCGGGAUUCGAGAGAGAGAAUAGGGGUUCGGGGGGAAUCAGGUUCGGGAGAGGAGAUUGCAGAAUGUAGAGAACGGGAUGAAUGAAGGGUUCAGUGAAAUCGAUUGAUGGGGUUGGGCUGCUGCCUGGCUGGGUUGGGUUAACAUGUUUAAACCGGUUUUUCGGUUUUUCGGUUUGAUCGGUUAUUUAACAUGUUUAAACCGAACCGAACCGAAAACCGAAUAAUUUUAAAUAUAUAAACCGAACCAAACCGAUCAUACCGAUUAACCGAACCGAAAAACCGAAAUUAAUCGGUUCGGUUCGGUUUUUCGGUUUAAACCGAAAACUGCACAGGCCUAUUGAUGAGAUCCCACAGAGGGGUCAAGUUUAUGAUUAUGUUUAUGUUGAGUGCAUGCACAGGUUGAGUUUGGUGUAUGAGGAAUGAAUGAAAGAAAAGUUUUAAUUUUUAUGUAUGUUGUUGAUCAUGUAUGGGAUUAAACAGGUUUACAGGUUACAUGUCAGGCUUGCUACGGGUCCCGGCGGCUUUAAGCCGAUCUGGAUCCUAGCGCCGGUAGCGGUCCGAUUUUCGGAUCGUUACACACACUGUCAUUCUUAUUUCUAAAACAAUCUUAAAUACUUUUUGCUAAAAAUAUUUACUCAGCUCAUUUAUUAAGCUCAUUCAAUAUCGCUCAUUCUUAAAUAUGUCAGACUCAAUAUUAACACUUGUGUUUAAAUCUUAGACUCAUAUGAAUCUACUAGUUAUCAC
rnacentral:lncRNA from 1 species